AGGGUUAUCGUUCUUUUCAAGAUUCAAUUAAUAUUAGUCUGUUACAUCAGGCUGCGGAUGUCCGUUAACUAUCACUCAAACUAGGCUCUGAUAAACUAAGUGAUUUGGUUACAAGCAGCGUUUCACUAUUUGUUUUACAUAUAUACUUAUACUAAAUACAUUUUAGUGCUGUUUUUAAAUAGUGUACCGGUUUAGAAAAAACAAGUUUGGAUUACAUAGUCAAGAAACAAGCUCUGCAGAACUAACCGAGGAGAUCGUAGAUUCAACCUGAAGUAAAGCCCAAGAUUGAACUAUUUUCUCAAAGACAUCCCACUUCCAAGCGUUGGGCGUUGUGUUCUUUGGGUGACUUCAUGUAAACAUUGACAUUUUUUUCUGCUUUGAUUGAAGCACGUGCAGGUUCUGUCCUCCUGGGUUUAAACCUAAACUAAGGACUUGAUAGAAACAAUUCUCAUGAACGACACAUUAAAUAAAGUCUACUAUCUUUCAAAAAUGAGAUUGUUAGUGCCUCACUUUGGCGAGCACUUCCAGGUAGAAGAAACUAGAUUACUUUGGAUAGUCUACAGCAGACCAAAAGUAUCACGACCCACGCAUCAGAAAGACAAGCACUUUAGCAAUAAUAAGAAUUUCUCACUUUUCACACAAAGCGUCGCGCUCCAGAAAUAGUAGUUCAAGGGGAGGAACUGUACAAAAUUAUACAUUUCUUCUCAGCUUAUCAGUUUUCUCCCUUUUGAA